UAAUCUUUCAAUUACUUACAAGAAGUAAUUAAAAAAGAACUUCUAGUUCAGCGUUCCUUUCCCUCUUUCUCUCUUAAGGGGCAAGAGGAGGGAAGCGAGGGGGAGAAGAAUGUUUUUUCUCUUUGCCGAGUCCAACAUUUGGCUUUUUCCAUUUGUGGCAGAUCACUGUAACGCUAUUGUAAAACAACUUCCUGCCCCUUUUGGCUCACGUUCCAGAAGCUGCUAGGCUAAGUUCAUAGCACAAACUUUUUUCCCCCUUGCCGAAGAAGAUAGACAAAAAAAAAAUUCCUGCAAAUUAUUUUCCCCCUUUUCUGGCUCAUGGACUCACAAGGUGAAUUUAUUGCAGCUCUUUAAGAAUAUUACACAAGAGACGUCGGUAUCCCAGCUGGAUAAUUCAUAAGAUGAAAAGCAGUAAUAGAUGCCAGCACACUACAAGCUGAGAGAGACAUCCCAGAACCUGUCUCUUCAGGGAUUCUAUGGAUUUGACACUCAGAGUAUGAAUUCUGGCUGUUACCUGCUGGGUGGCUCCAGCAAGCAGAAUUUAUCCAGGCACAAAUCAGGCCAGGAUCCCUCAGACACCCCUGGAAGCAAAGCUCUGAAUGGGAUAAAUCCAGAAAUCACAAGCAAUAUGCCUUCUGCAGUUAAAUGGGAGAAUAUUUAGAAAGAAAAUAGCUUUUCAAGGUGAAUGAGUUUGGCAAGAACUCACUGCAAAGCAAUGGAACCAUAAAUUCCUUUUUGCACAGCACAGGAGACCUUGAGCCCCAAAAGGCAGCUGAGUCUUUGGCAGAAUAAGCUUCUUCUACAUUGCAGCAUAAUGAUGCCAACAGCAAGGACCUUGCACCGAGUGUGGUCAGGUGGCACCUUCCAGGAGGACACAUGGUUUGUUUUGGUGAAGAGCAAACAGUUGCCUGAAUAUAUGCUAGACACAAAUUACUGAAACUCUGAUGAUAUGGGCAAAAUGUUGCUAUUUCAAACACUAAGAACAGCAUCUUCUCAAUGGAAUGGUGGUGGCCUUUUGGGGUGAAAUGUUCUUUGCACACUGCUACAACCUGAAACCAGCCCUGCUCAGGGCAAGCUUGACCAAGGCUAACAAAAUUAUUCCAUGAGAAAAACAGUUAAAGUAGUCUAAACAAAAUCUCUAAAGGACUCGAGUAAUAUUUUGAAGGCAUUAUUCUGAUACGGAGAAAGAAAAAUUAAAGUUCCUCCCUACAAAGUGUUUUUUUCAUUCUUGCAUCAUCUCAGCACUUCUAUUUCAACAGAAAUAUACUUACAAAAAUCUGCUAAAAUCACAUUCUGGAAUCCUAAAUGACCUAUGUGGAAGAAAUGUCCUAAAUCAUCUGGAACUGUUGGCUAAUGUGUGAACAUUUUCAAUGAAAAAAACCCAACAAAAACAAACAGAAGAACCUGAAUGUGAAAGCAGCUCUUUCAUUUUCCUACAGAAUGCUGGAUUACUUCUGAUAAAACUUGUAAUUUAUAAAAAUCUGUUUCUUUGGAGAAGGUACAACUCGCCCAUCUGUACUCUCAUAAUUCAGAAAAAAAUGAACCUGGUAAGUGAUUUAUUGAUGAAAAAGUAGGGAAACUAGGAGUUAAACCUCCUAUGUUCACAAUGGACACUGUUAAUUUUGAAAGGUGAAAAGGCAAGUGGGAAAAAAAGGAGCUUAGGAGAUGAGAAGGUACUGGAGCUUCCUUCUUAAUGUCAUUUCCAACACUCAUAUGCAGGUAAUCCUCUGUAUAAAAGUCAUUUUGUUCUUAUCUAAACAUUGUAACAGCAGUAUUCAUAUCUUCCAGAACAAGACAUACACUCUUAAAAAGUAAGGGGUAUUGACUGAUACCCAAGUAGAAAAAUAAUGGAAGAAGUGUGAUAAACCCCCAGACAUUCCUCUUUCAAUGGAUUGAAAAAGUCAAAACCAACCACCCCUAAAUUUAAACCAACCUAUCCAAGUGUCAUUUCCUAGCUUUGGUUUCUUUUUGUCACAACACUGUUACUGAAAGGUGGAUUUUGGUUGAUGAAUUUACUUGUAGCACAGGACUGUAUGACAAGCAAUGCUUCUGCAUUUUGUUGUAUGUCAUUAGUUUCCUCCCCAUAAACCAUUCAGGCUGUCACUCAAAGAUACCUUCCAUGUGGUUUUUUAGUCUCAGCAGUUUAAAUUUUGAAUUAUUUUAAAAUAAAGAGUGAAAAAUGAGAUGGUGUAGUGAAAUCUGGGUUUAGUCAAUUGCACUUUUAAGGGUAUCCUGAUAUUUGAAAAAGUGGCCAAGCACAUUCUGCCUGUUUGUUUUGAUACAGAUACAUCUGUCAGGAAUUCGUGCAUAAGCUUGUAUGGGAUUCCCAGGAUUGUGUGUGUUGUAAAAGAAAUCUGUAUUGGUCUGCUCCCAAUCUAAAUACACUUGUGACUAAAGCUCUCACAUGCAGAUAGAGAUCUAGCAAAUCAAAGUAUGUUUCCAGGAGCUGUAACUUAUUGAAUUUACAUACAAAAUCAAAUAGGUGAUGGGAAAAAAAAGUACAUCAAAGAGUACUUGAACUCUACUGUAGUACACUCCUACCAUUAGAUCUUAUUUUAUUGAAUGAUUCAUGCCUUAUUGGCUUUUCUAGAUUUGCUUUUAUAUUUCUGCCUUGCUAUUUUAAGAUGCAUUAUCUUUAAUCCAAAAACUGCCAUCCUACCUAAACCUAUUUAGAAUUUUCUAUGAUUAAAUUUCAUUGAAUGAAGAUUAGUGAGAAUUAUGGCUCUUUCACAGCACAGUCUGAGGGAACACACCAACCACAGUUUGGCAUACCCCAAAAAUGCCUUGCCCACCUUUACAUUUUAUAACAUCAAGAUGUGAAGCUAUAAAACUGGAAGGAAUUUUUUCUUAACUGAGAAAAACCAGUGGGAGAAACUGAUUUGUGUUCAGCUUUCUCCUCACAGCAGAAGGCCUUGCAGUUUUCAUACAUUCAUGUGUUAUUUGUGCCAUGUGCAGAACACAGGACGUGUCACUUCUGUAGAGAUGGAACCCAGAUCUCAGGGUGGGAGGGAGCUCAAACCAGGACAUGCUUCAACCACAGACCAGUUCCUCUGGAACUUGACUGCUUUGCAGGAAAUUCUCUGCUUUGGAGCCACCACAGAUGGCUCAAAAUCUGUCUGCACAUGCAAUUAGCAGAAAAUGAACAGAAAAUUGCCAUUAUUUGGGAAAGUCCAGGGCAAUAACUGAAAAUAGUCCAUUAAAGCUUAUACAUUCCAUGCUUUCUUCACUUCAGAUAAAAUCCCACUCCCUAUUUAAGAACUUCUUUUAGAAAUUAUUUCCUUGGUCAUUUAAGGAAACUGGAGCAUACUGCGUGGUUUGAAGUUACCUGAAUUCCUGAACUUUGAGGUGGCAGCAGUGGAAAGGAACUCUGACUUUGGGCCUGAUCUGCUUAGCAAAAGCAAUGACUUUGAUUCUAAUGCCUUUUGAGCAACAGCUCUUUUUACAAAAUAAGUAAAAAUCUUACAUAUUUGUAAUAUACAAUCUCAAAAUUUAGUUGAAGAAAUAGCAUUUAAAAGGUAUUCCCCUGCAGAGCAGUUAACAAGCAUUAAUUUAAAAAACCCACACUAACUUCACUAACUACAUCACUAUGUAUUGAUUAACAUAAAGGAAAUAUUUUCCUUUAAAAAAAAUACAUAAUAGUUUAAUCUGAUUUUUUUCCCCAGAGUUCUGAGUUAGUGCAUGAUUAUUUCUAAUGGAAAAUCUCAGUGUGCCUUUUCUGCAAUGAAAAUAUUUAAAAGAUAAAAUUCUUUAAAAAUACAUUUUUUUAUGUUGCUAAUUCCUGACAAUUUAAAAAAUCAUCUUCUCAUGCUCACUGUAUUGAGCUCAGCAUUUUGUAAAUAGAAAAGUUUAAGAUUAAAAAAAUCCAAGUGUGUGAUUUGUUGAAUAAAAAUACUCUAGUUGUUGGUCAGUUGUUUAGUUACAUCAGAAUACAUGGUAAGCAAGUCUACAUUCCUUUGAAACAACAGCUUCUGGUUUUGAGGUGUAUUUUAGUGGCAAAAGAAUAUUAGUUGCACUAUGAGUUGUUGAUUUAUUGAAUUGUAGAGGAUACAGCCUCAGGUACUACCUGAACUGCUUCCCACCUGAACUGCACAGGCUGCUGCUUUGCCAAUAUUUCAAAGUAUGUUUUGCUGAAUGAACAUAUUUUCAACAUUACACCACGGUGGAGUAACCUCUUCACUUGACCAGCACUUCAUGGGAUCUUUGGUACCAAGAGGUCCAAAGUUAUACAUGGGGGAAAACAGGCAUAAAUAAAUGCAAAAUAAAAAAGUCUAAAAAAGUUUCCACCCUCCAGCAACCACCUAAUAAAAGGGAAAGAGAGAACCUGAUGUGGGAGGAGUGUGGGAGUCCCUUGGGAGUUUCAGGUCCCUUUCUGUUUCUCUUCCUCUUCUCUUUCCCCUUCCCUCCCCCUCACUCAGCUCUCACACCACUCCAUAGGCUGUGUGAUGUUUAGGAUGUUUUCUUUCACCUGAAGUGGCCUCAGUGGCUCAAGCACCCCUGAGGAAGGGCUCUGUCCCCUCUGCCACCCACUCCAGUGCCAGCAGCAGGAGAUGAGAGAGGGGCUGGCCCCAGCUCUACCCAGGAGCCCCCUGCCAGAGCAGCCCACACACUUGGAGGACACUGCACCAACCACCUGAGGCUCAGCAGGAUACCCAGGGCUGCCAAGAGGAUACAGGAAAAACGUGUGUCAGUAUGUGAAUGUCACAGGGCCACAGGUCUGAUCUUCUCCCCAGUCACGGACCUCACGCCUCUGGACUUGAAAGGACUCAGGAUUUGUGCUGCUUCUGGCUGGGGUAGAGUUAAAUUUCUUCCCAGUAGCUGGUAGUGGCUGUGUUUUGGAUUUGUGCUGGAACAGUGCUGAUAACACAGGGAUGUUUUAGUUAUUUAGUUUAGGCAUGCACAGAGCCAAGGCCUUUUCUGCUCCUCUCCCACCCCACCAGUGAGGAUCUAGGGGGCACAAGGCCUUGGGAGGAUACACAUGCAGGAGAGCUGACCCCAACUGGCCACAGGGACAUCCCAGACCAUACAGCAUCACUCCAGUAUACAAAGCUGGGGGAAGGAGGAAGAGGAAGAGGGGAUAUUUGGAGUGAUGGUGUUUGUCUUCCCAAGACACUGUGACCUGUGAUGGAACCCAGCUUUCCUGGGAUGGCUGAGCACCUGCCUGUCCAAGGGAAGAGGGGAAUGAAUCCCUGGUUUUACUUUGCUUGUGCACACACUUUUGCUUUCCCUAUUAAACUCUGUUCAUCUCACCCCCUGAGUUUUCUCAUUUUUCUCACUUUUUUUCCCAAUCCUCUCCUGUGUCCCAUGAGCAUGAGGGAGUGGCUGCAUGGGGCUGAGUUUCCAUCUGGGGUUAAACUAUGACAGAGUUUCUCACACAAUGAAACCCUUGUUCAACUGCAGAGGGAAAGGCUACUAAAAUGACAAAGCAGAAUCCACAUGAAGCAAACUACAGAAGAAGCUGCCCCACCCUUUUCUUUCCAGA